CGCCUGGGAGGUCUUUGUAUUGCUUUGUAUGGAAACCCCGUGCUGGGGUUUGUGUACAAAUUGAGAGUGCCUUGCCUUGAAUAAACCAAAUUACUCCCAGCAUUACCUCUCGGAUAAUGUCUGGGGGAAAGAGCUAUGUCACUUCACUUUGAUUUAAUCACUAAAGACGGCGCUGACGGGGAUUCUAGAAAGGGGAAAGGACAUCCUUGGCGGCAAGACUCGUGUCCCUACACGAGUGGCCACCACAUCUGGUGGCAGUGGUGGGAUGGUCCAUUUCCAUCCUGUAAGUUCAUUGUCUCGUUGGGGAGGGAGACUGACAACCUCCACUGCUGGCAACCCAAGACCAACUGUCUUCACUCACAGUAACUCUGCCGGUUGCUGAGGAGGUAGUUGAGUGGCCAGGCUGCCCAGGAUCCAAGGAUUACACU